CCGUGAUGCAAAUCAACGAUUGAGAUCAAAUGUUCUGCCCAAGCAGACGUCUGCUCCAUCCCCAGAUCCCCGCUCGCCCCUACUGCAACACACAGGCCGAUUCCGCGCCGCUGGUUCUCCACCUCCCCUCCCUCUCCUCACUACAGGACGCCGCCGGGCGAAGCUCGGCUCGCGUCGGCGGCGCCGGGGUCACUCUCCUGCCUCGAGCAGCGUCGGCGGCGCGGGAUGCAGCGGGCUCGGCCUGUGUCACCGACGCGAGUGUCCCUCUCGAGCGGCGGCGGUGGCGGAUUCAGCGGACGCGGGCCGUGGCGGCGGCGGCGGCGGUGGAUGCAGCGGGCUCGGCCUGCGUCGGCGGCGGCGGGUCCAUCUCCUUCCUCGAAUAGCAGCGGGCUCGCGCCCCACGAUUUAUUCGACUCCGGCGAUUUGUCAACUUCUGCUUUAGCGGCGCCGCAACGGAGCACUCUGUCGGGCCCCUUGGCGGGAUCGGCGUCCGGAUCAUCUCGCGCCUCCGCAAGGGGGAUGGGACUGCUCGGGCUCAUCUGCAAGAGCCCCUCGCCGCCAUGCCGCCUGCUGCCGCUGACACCAUCAACGGGAGCGGACGAGCAGGAGAGAUCCUGUCGAUCUGAUGACGAAAGGGCGAGAUAACCGGCUCCUGUAUGUUUUGGAAGGUCUACCUCGAGAUAAAUUUGGACACCGGCAAGCUCCUCUCAGUAAAGCAAGUCGUGGGAUUUGGGGAUUUGCACGUUUUGGUUUUCUGGUUUGUACGUAUUGUCUAAAGACUUGGAGUCAUUCGUUGCAGGUUACACCAAGUCUCUCCUUUGUUUGAUUUUGGUUCCAGCUUUGAUCGGGAGCACCAACCGCGAGCUGGGAGAAAGCCCAAGUGAGUAGCACUUCCACAGCAGAUUGGUUACCAAUUUAAUUGUUCUGAUUUUUCUUCAUGUGAGGUGAUUUCUGGCCUUUGUUUCUACUAUCACGCGCAUAUAAGAGAACUCGAGGAAGAAGUGAAGCUCCUCAUUUUCUGUGAAGAAGUACCUUGAGACUGUCCGUGAGGAAGACACGCUGAAUAUCUUGCUUGAUUUUGUUCCCCGCCCACUGCACGCCGCUGUCGAGAACACCUCUGCUACCUCCUCCCAAUCUCCGCCACAAGAUUCUCCGUCCAGAUCCUGGGCGAGGAAUAAAAAAAUUAGUUCUUGAAGCUUCUCCAUCAUGCUGGACGGACAACUGUAUCCGGCACCGUCGCCAUCGCUUAUGGAGUUCCACACCAUUGCCCAGUUGUACGAGAGCAUGUUCAAUCUUCUCCAUUCAAGACUAUGCAAGUGGUGAACUCUGCCAAACAAGAAGAUAUGAGGAUAUGGCAUAUAUGCCCCAUAAGGUAGCUAUAUGGUAAUUCAUGUAUUGUAGUUUGGAUUACGGUCACACUUUGAAGGGUAAGUAGAUGAUGCUCAAUGACAUAACCUGCACUGAUCUUCACAGUCAUAUCAUCUGAUAGAAGUUUAUUGAAUUUCAUUUAAAUUUUGUUGUAUGUUAUCCAUGAUGUAAGUGGAGAUAGGAAGUUAAACAAAAUUAAAAAUUGCAGCACAAAGGGGAUGUCCACCAAUGAUUUGACAUGAUAAGAUGUUAGUGAAGCAUGGCAAACUAUGACAUUAGCAAAACUUAUAUUUACAUAUAUUCAUAUAUAUGAAUUUUGGAAAUGUGCAUUGCACGUAUAUCGUACUUCUCUUCACUAUUCAAAAUACUUGUACCCACUAUGAUUUCAUUUUUUAUUAUUUACCUUGAAGGAGUAUUAUAUUAAUGUUAUUUGUUGUCCACCUUGAUCCUUCACUGCUAUUUUUCCUACUAAGCAACUUUGCAUGGAGUUAAGAUCAUUUCGUAAGAUUCUGAUAUGUUUUUCAAAUUCGCUUCCUUUAUGCAUGAACCUAUCAUCAAGAUUUAGACCUCUUAUAUGGUGCAUGUAUGCUGCUGUAAGAAGAAAUGUAAUAUUGUCCUCAUCAAUUUCUUUCUUAGCAUGCACAAUAUGUUACAACAUCAAUUUCAUUGGUUUGGAGAAGGUGAUAAACAUGCAACCGUUCUUACUUGAUGAUAUGAAUGCUUCAUUGGAGCAAUAUUGGCCUUUGUUUGCACAUUAGUGUUCCAUUAUGUAGUAAAAGAUGUGGUCUGGUAGCCUUUCUUCAUUGUUACAGUUAUUGUCAAAUGGUGGAAUAUUGGUGCCUGGUAGCUCUGGUUCAUGUAAGCAUGACGAAACAUCGUAAAAUCAUAUUUCUUGUUGUA